ACGAACGCUGGCGGCGUGCCUAAUACAUGCAAGUCGAACGAAACUUUCUUACACCGAAUGCUUGCAUUCACCGUAAGAAGUUGAGUGGCGGACGGGUGAGUAACACGUGGGUAACCUGCCUAAAAGAAGGGGAUAACACUUGGAAACAGGUGCUAAUACCGUAUAUCUCUAAGGAUCGCAUGAUCCUUAGAUGAAAGAUGGUUCUGCUAUCGCUUUUAGAUGGACCCGCGGCGUAUUAACUAGUUGGUGGGGUAACGGCCUACCAAGGUGAUGAUACGUAGCCGAACUGAGAGGUUGAUCGGCCACAUUGGGACUGAGACACGGCCCAAACUCCUACGGGAGGCAGCAGUAGGGAAUCUUCCACAAUGGACGCAAGUCUGAUGGAGCAACGCCGCGUGAGUGAAGAAGGUCUUCGGAUCGUAAAACUCUGUUGUUAGAGAAGAACACGAGUGAGAGUAACUGUUCAUUCGAUGACGGUAUCUAACCAGCAAGUCACGGCUAACUACGUGCCAGCAGCCGCGGUAAUACGUAGGUGGCAAGCGUUGUCCGGAUUUAUUGGGCGUAAAGGGAACGCAGGCGGUCUUUUAAGUCUGAUGUGAAAGCCUUCGGCUUAACCGGAGUAGUGCAUUGGAAACUGGAAGACUUGAGUGCAGAAGAGGAGAGUGGAACUCCAUGUGUAGCGGUGAAAUGCGUAGAUAUAUGGAAGAACACCAGUGGCGAAAGCGGCUCUCUGGUCUGUAACUGACGCUGAGGUUCGAAAGCGUGGGUAGCAAACAGGAUUAGAUACCCUGGUAGUCCACGCCGUAAACGAUGAAUGCUAGGUGUUGGAGGGUUUCCGCCCUUCAGUGCCGCAGCUAACGCAAUAAGCAUUCCGCCUGGGGAGUACGACCGCAAGGUUGAAACUCAAAGGAAUUGACGGGGGCCCGCACAAGCGGUGGAGCAUGUGGUUUAAUUCGAAGCAACGCGAAGAACCUUACCAGGUCUUGACAUCCUUUGACCACCUAAGAGAUUAGGCUUUCCCUUCGGGGACAAAGUGACAGGUGGUGCAUGGCUGUCGUCAGCUCGUGUCGUGAGAUGUUGGGUUAAGUCCCGCAACGAGCGCAACCCUUACUGUCAGUUACUACGCAAGAGGACUCUGGCAGGACUGCCGUUGACAAAACGGAGGAAGGUGGGGAUGACGUCAAAUCAUCAUGCCCCUUAUGAUUUGGGCUACACACGUGCUACAAUGGACGGUACAACGAGUCGCGAGACCGCGAGGUUUAGCUAAUCUCUUAAAGCCGUUCUCAGUUCGGAUUGUAGGCUGCAACUCGCCUACAUGAAGUCGGAAUCGCUAGUAAUCGCGAAUCAGCAUGUCGCGGUGAAUACGUUCCCGGGCCUUGUACACACCGCCCGUCACACCAUGAGAGUUUGUAACACCCAAAGCCGGUGGGGUAACCGCAAGGAGCCAGCCGUCUAAGGUGGGACAGAUGAUUGGGGUG
rnacentral:rRNA from 1 species